rnacentral:rRNA from 1 species
GAUGAACGCUGGCGGCGUGCCUAAUACAUGCAAGUCGAGCGAACAGAUGAGGAGCUUGCUCCUCUGACGUUAGCGGCGGACGGGUGAGUAACACGUGGAUAACCUACCUAUAAGACUGGGAUAACUUCGGGAAACCGGAGCUAAUACCGGAUAAUAUAUUGAACCGCAUGGUUCAAUAGUGAAAGACGGUUUUGCUGUCACUUAUCGAUUGAUCCGCGCCGCAUUAGCUAGUUGGUAAGGUAACGGCUUACCAAGGCAACGAUGCGUAGCCGACCUGAGAGGGUGAUCGGCCACACUGGAACUGAGACACGGUCCAGACUCCUACGGGAGGCAGCAGUAGGGAAUCUUCCGCAAUGGGCGAAAGCCUGACGGAGCAACGCCGCGUGAGUGAUGAAGGUCUUCGGAUCGUAAAACUCUGUUAUUAGGGAAGAACAAAUGUGUAAGUAACUAUGCACGUCUUGACGGUACCUAAUCAGAAAGCCACGGCUAACUACGUG